rnacentral:rRNA from 1 species
GACGAACGCUGGCGGCGUGCUUAACACAUGCAAGUCGAACGAUGAACCGGAGCUUGCUCUGGGGAUUAGUGGCGAACGGGUGAGUAACACGUGGGCAACCUGCCCCAGACACCGGGAUAACCAUUCGAAAGGAUGGCUAAUACCGGAUACGACCACUUCGGGCAUCCGAUGGUGGUGGAAAGGAUUCUGGUCUGGGAUGGGCCCGCGGCCUAUCAGCUUGUUGGUGGGGUAAUGGCCUGCCAAGGCGACGACGGGUAGCCGGCCUGAGAGGGCGACCGGCCACGCGGGGACUGAGACACGGCCGAGACUCCUACGGGAGGCAGCAGUGGGGAAUAUUGCGCAUUGGGCGAAAGCCUGACGCAGCGACGCCGCGUGAGGGACGAAGGUCUUCGGAUUGUAAGCCUCUUUCAGCAGGGAUGAAGCGAAAGUGACAGUACCUGCAGAAGAAGCACCGGCUAACUACGUGCCAGCCGCCGCCGUAA